UGCAGCUAAUACAUACUUAUCAUAAUUCAGCGGAGACACUUCAGAGUGCACCACUUAACUGCUUUUCAAUUUCUUUUCCUGUUUGUCAUUAUCAUUGUUGGAUUUUUUUUUUUUUAAUCAUUUACAGGUGAUUGUUUGGCCCUGUGUUGGAACAACACCCACAAUGUACUUCAACUUUCUUUUCCUCUCACUGCUGCUUCUCUUUGGAUAAAAACCUACAGAGCUGUGGGAGAGGUUCAUGUAGAGCACUUAGCUGCACUGCGGGUUUCUCAGGCCCUGUGCUGGCAAUGCUAGAGUCACUUUGGGAUUUGAAACUUAAAUUGCAGAAAAAGUGUUUUCUGAACUGGUUGCCCCUGAAAAGAUCCUGGAGUAGCACACCCUUUCUUGGCUGAGCACAGUCCUUUAAGGAGAGCAUAGGCUGAACCUGUGUUUCCUGCAUUCUCUUCCAUGGAUUAUUCUUUCCAGACCAGACUGAAUCCUUUCUACUAGUUAACAAGGCAACCAAGUCAUGUGCCAUCAUGCUGAGCGGCAGUGCUCAAAUAAUUUGUUGCAAUGGCAGGAGAUGAGCCACUGUGAAAGAAUUGCUACACAUUACCUAUUAAGUCUAAGCAAAAGCUGAGAAGCAAUAUGCAGAACAACAACAACAAAACCAUAAGAAUAUAUGUGUGGUUACAUUGUCUCAAACAGCAGUACAGAGAGAGGAAGAACCCGUUUAAUAAAAGUAUACAAGCUUAGAGUGGGAGAUGGUUGGACUGAAGAAUAAAUAUUUAUGUUCCAGAUAUUGGCUUUGCCAUCCGUUCUGGUACUAUUCGACACACCACGUUGCAGAACAACAGAUGGAAAGAUGAAGGAAAAGUAGAUGGAGAAUGAAGACACCCCAGAAGUAACUGUUGCAAGAGCUACAUAGUGCUGUCACCAGAACCAUCUCAUUACCUCAUCCAACCCAUGAUCAGUUUAUGGAUGGUUGAUUGUUUGUGUCUUCCUUCUUAAGACUUUAUUUAAUCUAUUGUCCCAGGUUGUGAAGCAACAGGGCAGCAUUUAAAUAUUAAUAGCAAAUUGCUGACCGUAGUUUUCUAGUUCAUGUAGGUAGGCAUCGACAGUAUUAUAAAGCAUUCUUUACAAAUAAUAUAAUACUUCACUAAUAGGCUCUGUAUUAGCCAGAGGAAGGGUUUUAGUAACUUGAGAAUCCUGUUAGCGAGUACUGCUUGAAAUAAGAUGGCAGUUGCUCUAAAAGUUGCUUUAUUAUACUUCCCAUAAGACAUUUCUUGCCCAUAGAAGUCACUGGUAGGGUGAAAUAUCAAAAUAUUCAGAAGAACCUUCAUCAAAUAUCAAAAGCUCCAUAUUUCCCUAGAGAGGCGAUUUCCCCUGUCAAAGGAUAUGAGAAAUUGUCCAGAAUCAGUGUUGCCAAAGCAGCCCCUCCUGCUUCCUCCUCUCUCCCUCCCCUCCUCCUCACAGCUCCUUCUAAGGCUGCUGUUGCUCAGCAGCUCUUUCUGCAUCCAAGCGCAAGAGUUGGGGUGAAUAACAACAGGCCAUCUUAACCCAGACAGGUCUGUCUUCCCAUGGCAGCGUGCUCCCACCACCACCUUUAAAACCUUGCUGCUGGUUUCUUUACUAUGCCCUUUAUUAGAAUACCUUUCUCUGAGGGUGAAGCUGGGGUAGUCUAACAGCUCACUGCUGCCAAAAAGGAAGUCCUUCUCCUGUUUGCCUGCUCCUUUCUCAGCCAGGCAAGCUCUCUUCUUUCUUUGGGCCAGUUCUGGUGCUCAUCAGGCCUUUCGCUGAGCUGGCUCAGCUUGCGAAGCUUGUCGCUUUUUUUGGCCACCUUAGCUGUCUUCAGGCCAGUGAACUGAACUGGUCCAGCACGGGGCUGACUUUUCAGAGGUGGUGCAAGGAAAAGGAUGGGAAGGAAGGAGGAAAGGAGAGGAAGCAGGAAAUUACCAUUCAGUGCUGCUCUGCCAUUAGCUUAUUUUAGGUGACGAGGUGUAACUUUACCUUAAAAUUCAUCAUUAACGAGUGAAAUUAAAAAAUAUUUCAUAUAAAUCCCAGCAUAAGAAUAAAAGACAUGUUAUUUUGUUGCUUAU